rnacentral:rRNA from 1 species
UACGAAGGGGGCGAGCGUUUGUUCGGAAUUACUGGGCGUAAAGGGCGCGUAGGCGGUGUGUCAAGUCAGGCGUGAAAGCCCCGGGCUCAACCUGGGAACGGCGCUUGAGACUGGCACGCUCGAGUUCGGGAGAGGAUGGUGGAAUUCCCAGUGUAGAGGUGAAAUUCGUAGAUAUCAGGAGGAACACCGGUGGCGAAAGCGGACUUCUGGGUUGUUACUGACGCUGAGGUACGAAAGCGUGGGGAGCAAACAGG